rnacentral:rRNA from 1 species
UACGUAGGGUGCGAGCGUUGUCCGGAAUUAUUGGGCGUAAAGGGCUCGUAGGCGGUUUGUCACGUCGGGAGUGAAAACUCAGGGCUUAACCCUGAGCCUGCUUCCGAUACGGGCAGACUAGAGGUAUGCAGGGGAGAACGGAAUUCCUGGUGUAGCGGUGAAAUGCGCAGAUAUCAGGAGGAACACCGGUGGCGAAGGCGGGUCUCUGGGCCGAUACUGACGCUGAGGAGCGAAAGCGUGGGGAGCGAACAGG